CCUACGGGUGGCAGCAGUGAGGAAUAUUGGUCAAUGGGCGAGAGCCUGAACCAGCCGAGUCGCGUGAAGGAUGACGGCCCUACGGGUUGUAAACUUCUUUUGUCAGGGAGCAAUUGGGUCCACGCGUGGGCUUAGCGAGAGUACCUGAAGAAAAAGCAUCGGCUAACUCCGUGGCAGCAGCUGCGGUAAUACGGAGGCUGCUAGCGUUACCCGGAUUUAUUGGGAUUAAAGGGUGCGUAGGCGGAAUAUCAAGUCAGCGGUAAAAAUUCGGGGCUCAACCCCGUCGUGCCGUUUAGACUGAUGUUCUUGAGUGGGCGAGAAGUAUGCGGAAUGCGUGGUGUAGCGGGGAAAUGCAUAGAAAUCACGCAGAACUCCGAUUGCGAAGGCAGCAUACCGGCGCCCAACUGACGCUGAAGCACGAAAGCGUGGGGAGCAAACAGGAGUAGAUACCCCUGUAGUC
rnacentral:rRNA from 1 species